rnacentral:tRNA from 1 species
UCCCGCGUGGCUCAGUUGGUAGAGCGUGGUGUUUGCAACGCCAGGGUUGUGGGUUCGAUUCCCACGGGGGAC